rnacentral:pre_miRNA from 1 species
GAUUUCAACUGAAAAAGUCAUCAAUAACAAGGUUGUAUAACUCAUCAAGAUUUAUAACUUCUAUUUUGGUCAUUUCUUCAUCCAACAAAGUGAUUUGUAAGAUUGUUCACAAAAUGCACAUCUCUUAUAUAAAAACUUAUAUAAGAGAAUGCACAUCUCUUAUAUAAAAACUUAUAUAAGAGAUGUGCAUUUUGUGAACAAUCUUACAAAUCACUUUGUUGGAUGAAGAAAUGACCAAAAUAGAAUCUUGAUGAGUUAUACAACCUAUAUAAGAGAUGUGCAUUUUGUGAACAAUCUUACAAAUCACUUUGUUGGAUGAAAAAAUGACCAAAAUAGAAGUUAUAGAUCUUGAUGAGUUAUACAACUUUGUUAUUGAUGGCUUUUUCAAUUGAAAUC